rnacentral:rRNA from 1 species
AUACGUAGGGAGCGAGCGUUGUCCGGAAUUACUGGGUGUAAAGGGAGCGUAGGCGGGAAUGCAAGUUGAAUGUGAAAUCUAUCGGCUCAACCGAUAGCUGCGUUCAAAACUGCAUUUCUUGAGUGAAGUAGAGGUUGGCGGAAUUCCUAGUGUAGCGGUGAAAUGCGUAGAUAUUAGGAAGAACACCGGUGGCGAAGGCGGGUUACUGGACGAUAACUGACGGUGAGGCGCGAAAGCGUGGGGAGC